rnacentral:rRNA from 1 species
UACAGAGGGGGCGAGCGUUGUUCGGAAUUACUGGGCGUAAAGGGCGCGUAGGCGGCCUGCUAAGUCAUACGUGAAAUCCCUCGGCUCAACCGAGGAACUGCGUCUGAUACUGGUUGGCUUGAAUUCGGGAGAGGGAUGCGGAAUUCCAGGUGUAGCGGUGAAAUGCGUAGAUAUCUGGAGGAACACCGGUGGCGAAGGCGGCAUCCUGGACCAAUUCUGACGCUGAGGAGCGAAAGCCAGGGGAGCAAACGGG